rnacentral:rRNA from 1 species
UACGAAGGGGGCUAGCGUUGUUCGGAAUUACUGGGCGUAAAGGGCGCGUAGGCGGUCCUGAUCGUCGGAUGUGAAAGGCCUGGGCUCAACCUGGGAACUGCAUCCGAUACGGCGGGACUGGAGUGUGGGAGAGGUUGGUGGAAUUCCCAGUGUAGAGGUGAAAUGUGUAGAGAUCGGGAGGAACACCGGUGGCGAAGGCGGGUCUCUGGGCAAUUCCUGACGCUGAGGCGCGAAAGCGUGGGGAGCGAACAGG